GGGCCCGUAGCUUAGCCUGGUUGGAGCAUCCGACUGAUAAUCGGGAGGUCGAGAGUUCAAAUCUCUCCGGGCCCACCA
rnacentral:tRNA from 1 species